AUUGAACGCUGGCGGCAUGCCUUACACAUGCAAGUCGAACGGUAACGGGCCUUCGGGUGCCGACGAGCGGCGAACGGGUGAGUAAUGCAUCGGAACGUACCUUUCAGUGGGGGAUAACGUAGCGAAAGUUACGCUCAUACCGCAUAUUCUGUAAGCAGGAAAGCAGGGGAUCGCAAGACCUCUCGCUGCUUGAGCUGCCGAUAUCAGAUUAGCUAGUUGGUGAGGUAAAGGCUCACCAAGGCGACGAUCUGUAGCGGGUCUGAGAGGAUGAUCCGCCACACUGGAGCUGAGACACGGUCCAGACUCCUACGGGAGGCAGCAGUGGGGAAUUUUGGACAAUGGGGGCAACCCUGAUCCAGCCAUGCCGCGUGAGUGAAGAAGGCCUUCGGGUUGUAAAGCUCUUUCGGCCGGGAAGAAAUCGUAUCAGCUAAUACCUGGUGCGGAUGACGGUACCGGCAUAAGAAGCACCGGCUAACUACGUGCCAGCAGCCGCGGUAAGAC
rnacentral:rRNA from 1 species